rnacentral:rRNA from 1 species
UACGUAGGGUGCGAGCGUUAAUCGGAAUUACUGGGCGUAAAGGGUGCGUAGGCGGUUCGUUAAGUCUGUUGUGAAAUCCCCGGGCUCAACCUGGGAAUGGCAAUGGAUACUGGCGGGCUAGAGUGUGUCAGAGGAUGGUGGAAUUCCCGGUGUAGCGGUGAAAUGCGUAGAGAUCGGGAGGAACAUCAGUGGCGAAGGCGGCCAUCUGGGACAACACUGACGCUGAAGCACGAAAGCGUGGGGAGCAAACAGG